GACGAACCGUACGAACGUUAUUCGGAAUCACUGGGCUUAAAGGGUGCGUAGGCUGCGCAGAAAGUUGGGUGUGAAAUCCCUCGGCUUAACCGAGGAACUGCGCCCAAAACUACUGUGCUCGAGGGAGACAGAGGUGAGCGGAACUUAGGGUGGAGCGGUGAAAUGCGUUGAUAUCCUAAGGAACACCGGUGGCGAAAGCGGCUCACUGGGUCUCUUCUGACGCUGAGGCACGAAAGCUAGGG
rnacentral:rRNA from 1 species